AGAGUUUGAUCCUGGCUCAGGACGAACGCUGGCGGCGUGCUUAACACAUGCAAGUCGAACGAGGUGCUUGCACCUAGUGGCGAACGGGUGAGUAACACGUGAGCAACCUGCCCUUGGCUCUGGGAUAGCCUCCGGAAACGGGGAUUAAUACCGGACAUGACUUCCCGCGGCAUCGCGGGGGGUGGAAAGUUUUUCGGCCAGGGAGGGGCUCGCGGCCUAUCAGCUUGUUGGGGGGGUAACGGCCCACCAAGGCGACGACGGGUAGCCGGCCUGAGAGGGCGACCGGCCACACUGGGACUGAGACACGGCCCAGACUCCUACGGGAGGCAGCAGUGGGGAAUAUUGCACAAUGGGGGAAACCCUGAUGCAGCGACGCCGCGUGCGGGAUGAAGGCCUUCGGGUUGUAAACCGCUUUCAGCAGGGGCGAAUUCAGACGGUACCUGCAGAAGAAGCGCCGGCUAACUACGUGCCAGCAGCCGCGGUAAUACGUAGGGCGCGAGCGUUGUCCGGAAUUAUUGGGCGUAAAGAGCUCGUAGGCGGCCUGUUGCGUCCGCUGUGAAAUCCCGGGGCUUAACCCCGGGCGUGCAGUGGAUACGGGCAGGCUGGAGGCAGGCAGGGGAGAACGGAAUUCCCGGUGUAGCGGUGAAAUGCGCAGAUAUCGGGAGGAACACCGGUGGCGAAGGCGGUUCUCUGGGCCUGAUCUGACGCUGAGGAGCGAAAGCGUGGGGAGCGAACAGGAUUAGAUACCCUGGUAGUCC
rnacentral:rRNA from 1 species